GACGUAGGGUGCGAGCGUUGUCCGGAUUUAUUGGGCGUAAAGAGCUCGUAGGCGGCUCGUCGCGUCGACCGUGAAAACUUGGGGCUUAACCCUAAGCUUGCGGUUGAUACGGGCGGGCUAGAGUUCGGUGGGGGAGACUGGAAUACUUGGUGUAGCAGUGAAAUGCGUAGAUAUCAAGUGGAACACCAGUGGCGAAGGCGAGUCCCUGGACAACUCCUGACACUGAGGCACGAAAGCUAGGGGAGCAAACAGG
rnacentral:rRNA from 1 species